rnacentral:tRNA from 1 species
GGAAACGUGCCUGAAAGUCAAGGGCCACUUUGAUAGAGUGAAUUAUAGAGGUUCAAGUCCACUCGUUUCCU